UGGGGAAUUUUGGACAAUGGGCGCAAGCCUGAUCCAGCCAUGCCGCGUGCGGGAAGAAGGCCUUCGGGUUGUAAACCGCUUUUGUCAGGGAAGAAAUCUUCUGAGUUAAUACCUCGGGAGGAUGACGGUACCUGAAGAAUAAGCACCGGCUAACUACGUGCCAGCAGCCGCGGUAAUACGUAGGGUGCAAGCGUUAAUCGGAAUUACUGGGCGUAAAGCGUGCGCAGGCGGUUUUGUAAGACAGAGGUGAAAUCCCCGGGCUCAACCUGGGAACUGCCUUUGUGACUGCAAGGCUUGAGUGCGGCAGAGGGGGGAUGGAAUUCCGCGUGUAGCAGUGAAAUUGCGUAGAUAUGCGGAGGAACACCGAUGGCGAAGGCAAUCCCCUGGGCCUGCACUGACGCUCAUGCACGAAAGCGUGGGGAGCAAACAGGAUUAGAUAGCCCUGGUAGUCCACGCCCUAAACGAUGUCAACUGGUUGUU
rnacentral:rRNA from 1 species